UACGGAGGGCGCAAGCGUUAAUCGGAAUUACUGGGCGUAAAGCGUGCGCAGACGGUUAUCUCAGUCGAGUGUGAAAGCCCCGGGCUCAACCUGGGAAUUGCAUUCGAUACUGAAUAGCUAGGGUGCGGAAGAGGGAAGUGGAAUUUCCGGUGUAGCGGUGAAAUGCGUAGAUAUCGGAAGGAACAUCAGUAGCGAAAGCGACUUCCUGGUCCAGCACCGACGUUCAGGCACGAAAGCGUGGGGAGCAAACAGG
rnacentral:rRNA from 1 species